GGAAUGAUGGUGACCUAAACCCUCACCAGAGUAACAAUUGGAGGGCAAGUCUGGUGCCAGCAGCCGCGGUAAUUCCAGCUCCAAUAGCGUAUAUUAAACUUGUUGCAGUUAAAAAGCUCGUAGUUGAAUUUUUGCGUCACCGUGUAUCGACAUUGGUCGUUUAUCGGUUUCGCUUUUGGGAUUUKUCCCUUUUUACUUUGAGAAAAUUAGAGUGUUUCAAGCAGACUUUUGUCUUGAAUACUUCAGCAUGGAAUAAUAGAGUAGGACUUUGGUUCUAUUUUGUUGGUUUGUGAACCUUAGUAAUGGUUAAUAGGAACGGUUGGGGGCAUUCGUAUUUAACUGUCAGAGGUGAAAUUCUUAGAUUUGUUAAAGACGAACUACUGCGAAAGCAUUUGCCAAGGACGUUUUCAUUAAUCAAGAACGAAAGUUAGGGGAUCGAAGACGAUCAGAUACCGUCGUAGUCCUAACCAUAAACUAUGCCGACUAGGGAUUGGAGGUCGUCUUUUUUCC
rnacentral:rRNA from 1 species